GGAAUAUUGGACAAUGGGGGCAACCCUGAUCCAGCCAUGCCGCGUGUGUGAAGAACGCCUCAGGGUUGUAAAACACUUUCAGCGGGGAAGAUGAUGACGGUACCCGCAGAAGAAGCCCCGGCUAACUCCGUGCCAGCAGCCGCGGUAAUACGGAGGGGGCUAGCGUUGUUCGGAAUUACUGGGCGUAAAGGGCGUGUAGGCGGCCUGCCAAGUCAGAUGUGAAAGCCCCGGGCUUAACCUGGGAACUGCAUUUGAGACUGGCCGGCUAGAGGUUGGAAGAGGAGAGUGGAAUUCCCAGUGUAGAGGUGAAAUUCGUAGAUAUUGGGAAGAACACCAGUGGCGAAGGCGGCUCUCUGGUCCACACCUGACGCUGAGGCGCGAAAGCGUGGGGAGCAAACA
rnacentral:rRNA from 1 species